GAAGCAAGCCAGACCGUCGCUGGUGCGAGCGCCGAAAGGCGGCACUGGAGGAAGGUCCGGACUGCGCAGGGCGGCGUAGCAGCUAACGGCUGUCCACCGUGAGGUGAGGAUCAGAGCAACAGAGACGAGCCGAUUGAGUUCGGGUGAAACGGGCAAUCUCUACGCGCAGCAAUACCAAGUAGGCACACGCCGUGCAGCAUGGCCAUGCUAUGUUGCACUGAACGCUGGUCCCGGCGGAGUGUGCGGGUAGGUAGCACCGAGCCGUGCAGCGAUGCACGGCCCAGAUGAAUGGCGGUCACGUCGGCGUUGUUCGCAAGAAGAGCGCCGGCGCACAGAAUCCGGCCUAUCGGCUUGCUUCACAU
rnacentral:RNase_P_RNA from 1 species